rnacentral:lncRNA from 1 species
UUCGGCUUUGGCGGCCGCUACUUUGUCCAUCCAUGCCCAACGAAGAUCGAUGAUUUUUCGAUAUUUGCUCUCCAGAGUGUACAUAUCGUGUGCCCACUGAACAGAGAAGACAAAUCAAGUCGGAUCAAAAAAAAAAGAGAAGAAUUAUCGUUAACUUAUCCCAAGCAUCAUCGGGUAAAACGAAGAAAAUAUUUCGGACACUGUCUGAUUUCUUCUGUUCUCUCUAUC